rnacentral:lncRNA from 1 species
AAAAGCAUACAAAUAUAUUUGACAUAAGUUUUACCUGAUAUGCGAGCCUUCAUAAGAAAAUGAAGACCUGAAGAAAUGACUAAACCUGAAUAUUUUUAUGCUUGGUUUGAUGAAGAGCGGACAGUCACAGAGGAGUAUGAGCUUUCAGGAGGGGUCUCCUGCUGGAUUCCCGUCGCUCCAUGGCUCCGAAACGCAGGCAGCCCUCCCAGGACUCCAAGCAGGGCCCAAAAUUUGUUUGUGAGGAUUUGCAUAAAAAGCUUUACUGAAUGGGAUUCACUGAAUGCAGAUGGCUCCUGGAGUUUGACUCUGGCCCAAAGUGAAGGCUGCCUGGGAUGCAAAGGAGAAGCUCUCAGCCCAGUCUGCUGGGGAAGCACCUGUCAUUGGUUUGGGCCUGGCAGCGUGGUCUCCAAGGAGACGGUAGUGAGACCCCGCCUGUGUCACUGAGCCAGCACUGGGGGACUGAGGCCCA